UAGUGAUCAAACAGACACCUAUGGAAAGCCCACAAGCAGGACACGAGAACAGUCUUCUGCUGUUGCUCCCCAGCAACCAGGCUUCAAUGCAUGUGGAUGGCUUGGUCUGCUUCCUUGAGAAAAAUGAGAGUGUUUUGUCCUUCAGUCACUUCUUUAGUGAUUCCUGUUAUUGUGUGAAUGAAGAGGAUAUGGACAUGAAUAAUCUUGCUUCUGUCCAGGAGGUUAAACAUGGAUGACUGUUCCACAGACCACAUAAUGUGAAAGCUCUAAUUCCAUUCAGUGAACUUCUGAACAAAGGCCACAGUAUACAUCAAUAUCAAUGCCAGCAAUCUACACUGGUUCUUGUGAAGUUUGCAGCACAGUUCCUAUGCACAUUUCCCACUAAGUGUAAUGGGACUUACUAUCAGG